rnacentral:rRNA from 1 species
CACGAAGUUAGCCGGGGCUUCUUCUUCCGGUACCGUCAUUAUCGUCCCGGACGAAAGAGCUUUACAACCCUAAGGCCUUCAUCACUCACGCGGCAUGGCUGGAUCAGGCUUGCACCCAUUGUCCAAUAUUCCCCACUGCUGCCUCCCGUAGGAGUCUGGGCCGUGUCUCAGUCCCAGUGUGGCUGAUCAUCCUCUCAGACCAGCUACUGAUCGUCGCCUUGGUGAGCCAUUACCUCACCAACUAGCUAAUCAGACGCGGGCCGAUCCUUCAGCGAUAAAUCUUUCCCCCGAAGGGCGUAUCCGGUAUUAGCUCAAGUUUCCCUGAGUUGUUCCGAACCGAAGGGCACGUUCCCACGUGUUACUCACCCGUCUGCCACUGACACCCGAAGGUGCCCGUUCGACUUGCAUGUGUUAAGCCUGCCGCCAGCGUUCGCUCUGAGCCAGGAUCAAACUCU